CCUUGCCAGCCCGCUCAGAAACUUAAAGGAAUUGACGGGGGCCCGCACAAGCGGUGGAGCAUGUGGUUUAAUUCGAUGAUACGCGAGGAACCUUACCUGGGCUCAAAUGUAUGUUGACGUAUUCUGAAAGGGAUACUUCUUCGGACAAUAUACAAGGUGCUGCAUGGUUGUCGUCAGCUCGUGCCGUGAGGUGUCGGGUUAAGUCCCAUAACGAGCGCAACCCCUAUCAUUAGUUGCCAUCAGGUCAAGCUGGGGACUCUAAUGAAACUGCCUACGCAAGUAGUGAGGAAGGUGGGGAUGACGUCAAAUCAGCACGGCCCUUACGUCCAGGGCUACACACGUGCUACAAUGGCCGGCACAACGGGAAGCGAGUUCGCGAGGACGAGCGGAUCCCUCAAAGCCGGUCGCAGUUCGGAUUGAAGUCUGCAACUCGACUUCAUGAAGCUGGAAUCGCUAGUAAUCGUGGAUCAGCCAAGCCGCGGUGAAUACGUUCCCGGGCCUU
rnacentral:rRNA from 1 species